rnacentral:rRNA from 1 species
GGGGAAUUGUUCGCAAUGGGCGCAAGCCUGACGACGCAACGCCGCGUGGAGGAUGAAGACCUUCGGGUCGUAAACUCCUUUCGAUCGAGACGAAUGGCUUCCGGGUCAACACCCCGGGGGAAUGACGGUACCGAGAGAAGAAGCCCCGGCUAACUCAGUGCCAGCAGCCGCGGUAAUACGUAGGCAGCGAGCGUUGUUCGGAGUUACUGGGCGUAAAGGGUGUGUAGGCGGUUGUUUAAGUUUGGUGUGAAAUCUCCCGGCUCAACCGGGAGGGUGCGCCGAAUACUGAAUGACUUGGAGUGUGGGAGAGGUGAGUGGAAUUCCUGGUGUAGCGGUGAAACGCGUAGAUAUCAGGAGGAACACCGGUGGUGUAGACGGCUCACUGGACCAUAACUGACGCUGAGACACGAAAGUGUGGGUAGCAAAC